rnacentral:tRNA from 1 species
GCCGAAGUGGUGGAACUGGUAGACGCGCUGCGUUCAGGGCGCAGUGCCCGAAUGGGCGUGGGGGUUCGAGUCCCCCCUUCGGCA